rnacentral:misc_RNA from 1 species
GGAGGAAGAAAUUUACAUUUCAUAUGUGAUGGAAGAUACCACAACUUCCUGAUCUUUCAUUUUCUGACAUUGACAUUAAAGGAUAGCUUCCAAAAGUUGCUGAGUUAAUUUGAGUUUGAAUGAUCUUUGUUUCUUCAACUGAACUUCCGGCCUUGAAUUCCAAGUUCUUCAUUUGAUUUGUUUGAAACUGUAACAAAUUUUCAAGCUU